CUAUUGUUAAGACGUUAGUAUGAAAGCUAAGACAAAACCAAGGAAUGAUAUUGAUAUAUUAGUAUCAGCAAAACUUCAUAUUUUACUCAGAUUUUCUUAGUUUUUAUCUAAUGUUUUCUUCUUUUUCAGGAUUCCAUCCAAGACACCAUAUUACAUAUUAUCGUGCCUUCUUAGGAUUGUCUUAGCUGUGAUGUUUCCUCUGAUUUCAUUGAUACAGGAUUUUGUGUUUUAAGGAAUAUGGGACAGAUGUGUACUGUCAACAUUAGUUAUCACAAUUGAUACCAACCAUCUUCAGCUGACUGAGGUACCGCCGAUGAAACCCUGCUUUACUUACCCUUUUAGCCAUUUGUAAAUUUUCAUGGCCGUGGGACAGACAAGCACCCCAUCUUUAGCUGAACUUAGGAAAAGUCCUGCAACAUUUUUGGUGCCCAACAUGGAACUCAAGAAGCGAUGAAAGCUGUAUAAUGGAGGAAAAAACUGAACUAAGGCAAGAAUAUGAGCAAAAAGAAAGAAGAACCAAAAUUACAGGUAGGUAACCAUGGUCCAAGUGAGGUACUGAGGGAUGAGUGAUGAAUCUAUUGAGGAAUCCACAAGAGGAAGCGUGGGUGCUGUAAAAUAAGGAAGCCAAUGUUUGGCAAAGAUCAACCCCCAAGGAAUUUGGAGUCUCAUGGAAAGUGUAGGUGGGGGUGCAUUUUGCUCCCAUCACCCGUGUGUCACACUGCUGACUUCUGACUUGUUGGGGAGAUCCCUUGCAAUCCCUGUGGGCAGGAAUCCGGGAACUUGGGAGUAGAACCAGCUGUACAGUCUUUCUCAUUCUCACCCCAGACCAGAGUGGAGGCACCAUACGGUUGCGCACCUGCUGUGGGUCUCUAUUCUUCCCAUAGAGUCUAAUCCCUUGUAUCUACACACCACUAGAUUCCAUGCAAACAUUCCCUGCAAUCCACAAAGGACUGGUAGGAUCCUGGGGAGCUGUGAGAUUUCUGGAGGUCUAACUUGUGGGGCAAGAUGCCUCUGGCAAACGGGAGAACAUGAAUUGCCAAAGUGCCCUUGAGAAAAGGCAACCAGAUUUUACACUCUGUACCCGAGAGCUCCAUACUUGUGAGCAGAAGGUGACUGUGCCCUCCCCCUGCAGAGACACAGGAGCAGUGUGAAGUUCUUUGGGGAAGAGGGUGGUUUUGUCUCAGUGGCUAGGCAGCACUGGUGCCUGGAAAUUUAUGAGGAGAUGGAA